rnacentral:rRNA from 1 species
CAAGGCUAAAACUCAAAGGAAUUGACGGGGGCCCGCACAAGCGGCGGAGCAUGCGGAUUAAUUCGAUGCAACGCGAAGAACCUUACCAAGGCUUGACAUACACCGGAUCGGCUCAGAGAUGGGUUUUCCUCCUUGUGGGGCUGGUGUACAGGUGGUGCAUGGUUGUCGUCAGCUCGUGUCGUGAGAUGUUGGGUUAAGUCCCGCAACGAGCGCAACCCUCGUUCUAUGUUGCCAGCACGUGAUGGUGGGGACUCAUAGGAGACUGCCGGGGUCAACUCGGAGGAAGGUGGGGAUGACGUCAAAUCAUCAUGCCCCUUAUGUCUUGGGCUUCACGCAUGCUACAAUGGCCAGUACAAUGGGUUGUGAUACCGUGAGGUGGAGCUAAUCCCAAAAAGCUGGUCUCAGUUCGGAUCGUGGUCUGCAACUCGACCACGUGAAGUCGGAGUCGCUAGUAAUCGCAGAUCAGCAACGCUGCGGUGAAUACGUUCCCGGGCU